rnacentral:rRNA from 1 species
AACCCAGUGCAAUUCGUUGCACUAUCGUUAACUGAAUACAUAGGUUAACGAGGCGAACCGGGGGAACUGAAACAUCUAAGUACCCCGAGGAAAAGAAAUCAACCGAGAUUCCCCCAGUAGCGGCGAGCGAACGGGGAGCAGCCCAGAGUCUGAAUCAGCUUGUGUGUUAGUGGAACGGUCUGGAAAGUCCGACGGUACAGGGUGAUAGUCCCGUACACCAAAAUGCACAGGUUGUGAACUCGAAGAGUAGGGCGGGACACGUGGUAUCCUGUCUGAAUAUGGGGGGACCAUCCUCCAAGGCUAAAUACUCCUGACUGACCGAUAGUGAACCAGUACCGUGAGGGAAAGGCGAAAAGAACCCCGGCGAGGGGAGUGAAAAAGAACCUGAAACCGUGUACGUACAAGCAGUGGGAGCACCUUCGGGUGUGACUGCGUACCUUUUGUAUAAUGGGUCAGCGACUUAUAUUCUGUAGCAAGGUUAACCGUAUAGGGGAGCCGCAGGGAAACCGAGUCUUAACUGGGCGUUAAGUUGCAGGGUAUAGACCCGAAACCCGGUGA